ensembl:lncRNA novel transcript
GGGAAAUCUGUCCAGGAAGCAGCCAGGCGGGCAUCAGCCAGGCGGGCAUCAGCAUCUUCACUGUGCAGAUGAGAAACUGAGGCCGCAGAGGUGAAGGGACAUGCCCAGGAUCACUAAGGUGAUCCCUAGAAACACAGCCAGUGGCCCGGAAGCUGCACUGUUUUGUGCACCGCAGGGAUGGGCACAGAUGGGGCUGCCUGCCCUCCUCCUGGAAGGAGGGAGAACCCAGUCUGGCCUGGAGUGGUCAAGAGCUAACUCUAGACUCAGCAAGACCUACUUCUCUCUCCUGCCCCUACUUCCUUGCUGCUGACCUGGGCAAGUCGCUGAAGCCUCUCCGUGCCUCAGUCUGCUCGUGCGUAAGAUGGGCACAGGGCACACUGCCUACUUGAUUGGGCUCAACCACGUGCAGUAAGUAGCUGGUGUCUGGCAAGAGCCCUCAGGAAACAGUAACCCCAUUAAUUCAAAUGCACGUGCCUGGAACAGGCUCUGGGGGGCCAGCCCGGGAGUCCCACUCCAUGAUGGCCACCCUGGGGCCUGGC